rnacentral:rRNA from 1 species
AACGAACGCUGGCGGCAUGCCUAACACAUGCAAGUCGAACGAGACCUUCGGGUCUAGUGGCGCACGGGUGCGUAACGCGUGGGAACCUGCCCUUAGGUUCGGAAUAACUCCCCGAAAGGGGUGCUAAUACCGGAUAAUGUCUUCGGACCAAAGAUUUAUCGCCUUUGGAUGGGCCCGCGUUGGAUUAGCUAGUUGGUAGGGUAAAAGCCUACCAAGGCGACGAUCCAUAGCUGGUCUGAGAGGAUGAUCAGCCACACUGGGACUGAGACACGGCCCAGACUCCUACGGGAGGCAGCAGUGGGGAAUAUUGGACAAUGGGCGAAAGCCUGAUCCAGCAAUGCCGCGUGAGUGAUGAAGGCCUUAGGGUUGUAAAGCUCUUUUAACCGGGAUGAUAAUGACAGUACCGUGAGAAUAAGCGCCGGCUAACUCCGUG